rnacentral:lncRNA from 11 species
UUAUGAUUGAGCCUCAUGGCUCUGUUACUGACAGACGUGGACGUAAGACUCCUCGAGAGUCAGAUACUCUCGAGGAGCGAGAGAGAAAAAGACUGCGAGACAUAUUUGCAGCACCAUCUGACGAAGAGUCUUUCGAGGGGUUUACGGAGAGAAUGGAGGAGGGGCUGGUUAGCUCAGAGGAGGAUGAGAUGGAUUGGACUCGGCUUGACCUUCCGUCGUCUUCUUGACGGACGCCAUCUCCUGCUUUGAAAACUCGGACUGAACUGACCACGGCUUGUCUUCCCCCCUUCUUGGACUUGGAAAAACUACAAACGUCUGCUUCUGGCUUUGAUCUACGGAACGGAACUGGUCUACUCUACUGCUACAAUCCUUGGCUGAUCUGCUCGUGUUGGAAAUCCUGUCUGCUGUGUGUGUGUGGGAGCGACGCAAGUUACUCUAAGCACAGUGUUGGCAGCAGAGAGGAAUCUGCUGCCAAUUAGUUGCAUUCUUUGUAUCUUUUGUUCCUUGGCUUUCGUUUUGUUUAUACCCAGGCUGAAGCAAGCAGUUUGUUUUUACCCGGAUUAAACUCCGGUUUAAUCCGGUUUAUCUUUUGAACAUUUACUUUUGUCCCUUUUUGCUCCUAAAGGCAAAUACUGCCUGGCCCUUGUGUUUUACGGGCAUUUUUUGAGUUCUGUAAUCUAAUAAACUCUGUUACUUUGAAUCUUGUGGCGUUCUGUCCUUGACACUUCUUCAUGCUU